AAGUAAAAUUGGAAGUUUGGAGAAGAUGGAUUGUUUUUAACAUGUUGUAGCUAAAGUUGUAAAUCCCUGUGAUAUUCAGGGCAGCUUCACCAGAGUGGCAGUGUUUUUUUUGUCCUGCGUAUUGGUUGAUUGCAGACUGUGAGAGACGUAUUCCCGUGAGCUCUUGUAUCCCCAGCACUAUGCUAGACACUAAAGAUGUAACUAUGAACUAACAGAAUCUUGGAGCGUGAGGGGGCAGGCAGAUGGGAGAAAUGAUAAGAGGCAAGGGAUGAGGUGUGAUUCUCAGUGACAUGAUCUAGAAUAAAGGAUCCUCCUUUACUUAUUCCCAAACCCCUAGUUUGUGACCAGAGAGUAGGCACUAAAGCCCAGUGGCAUGUGUUUGAGUUAGAAGUGCACUUUUAGGGUAUAGAUAGAUGUUACUAACUAGUGCCAUGGGUUCUAACAAUGAAUCUUAAAUUCUCAGAGUUUACCUUUCUCUACACAUGUCCACACUGGGCUCCAAGAACAUCAUUUUAUUGUAAGGGAGUUGAGUUUUUAAGAUUUUGUUUUCCUUUUAAAUGAUAAAGCUAAAACUUUACCAUGGUAUGAACCAGUAUGAUAGGUCCUUCACUUAUGCUUUAAGAAUUUUUGCCUUUUUUCUUCUCUAAACAAUUGGAAAUAAUUUUUCCUACUAGCUGUCCCUUGACUUUUAAUAUAAUUUAUUAUUUUGUACAAGAAGUGCUACCAUAUGUACGGAAUACCUAACCUAAAAUUAUACCUGAACCCAAUGAUAAGCAGAUGAUACAGAAUGAUGGUAGAGACUUUUUAUACUGACUGGUAAGAUACAAAAUUGGUAACAUUCCCUAACACUUAAGAAUUUGACUUUUUUUUUUUAAUUGAUUGCUCUUUUUAGGCAGAAUGGCUAAUGCGGAUCUGGUGAAGUAUGGUUUGGCUGAUGUGGUAGAAAAUCCUGGUAUCAUCACUGAUAUAGGGAUGAAAGCAGUCAAUGAAGUUUUUUCCUGUAUCAAAUAUCUGGCAAUUUACAAUUGCCCUCAUCUACACAACCCAUACAAUUGGAUCUCAGACCAUUCAAGAUGGACUCGAUUGGUUGAUAUCAACCUAGUACGGUGCCAUGCUUUGAAGCUGGACUCUUUUGGCCAGUUUAUUGAAUUAUUACCCAGCCUAGAGUUUAUUUCACUGGAUCAGAUGUUUCGUGAACCACCCAAGUUAUUAAUGGUUACAUUCCCACUGUUGAAGCAGUACAAUAUAAUGGGGAAAG
rnacentral:sRNA from 1 species